rnacentral:rRNA from 1 species
CCUACGGGAGGCAGCAGUGGGGAAUAUUGCACAAUGGGCGGAAGCCUGAUGCAGCGACGCCGCGUGAGGGAUGACGGCCUUCGGGUUGUAAACCUCUUUCAGCAGGGACGAAGCGUGAGUGACGGUACCUGCAGAAGAAGCGCCGGCUAACUACGUGCCAGCAGCCGCGGUAAU